GAGCUUCAGAUUUGUUGGCAAAGAUGUUUUUUAAAGAUAAGAUGAGGAAAUUAGAGGGGGAAAAAGCUUUCUUACAGCUUUUUAAAGGCAGCUCCUUUUGUGAGAGCGCCACUUAAGGGACUGUAAUUAGAACUGCAUGUUUUUUGGGGGGGGGGAACCGAGAAUUUGAGAGCCUCCCUCCUCCCCCCAAAUUUCACUUUCUCUAGGGAGGUUCAGGUAUAUCUAUAUGACAUUUUUGUUCUUUCUUGCAGGACGACACGGUUCCCUCAGCACUCCUCCAUAUCUGACUUUUCAGUUAGAAUUUUCCUCAGUUCCCGCUCAAGAUAGAAUCCAGGCUGCUGCUUAUCUUACAGUGGAAGCUGGACCAUUUCGAUUCCAUACUGCUCUGCACUGGUGUUUUCAUGCUUCUUGGCUGAGAGGGAUCCUCGGAGGUUUAUUGUACCAGGCUGUCAGGAUAUUCUACAAUUUGUGACUAAGGAAUAUUGCAGGCUUCAUUAAAACAUCUUAUUUGUACAGAGCAAACUUCAGAUUUUUAGGUAAGUCCCCAAUAUUGGCUGAAAUCCAGUAGUAAAUCAAGACUCAAUUAACCCCACUAGGGAUUUGGUGAGUCGAUACCCGUGUAAGUCCCAUUGAUUCAAUGGGCCUACUCUAGUUGUGAGUUAAGCCAAUACGCUUUUGGCACCUUGGUCCUGGGGACGAUUUGAGCUCUGGGACCAAAAAGGGGCCUGAAUAUUAUUGAAUUAUAAUAAUAAUUUUCUCUGUCUUCCUGGAUAAGCUUUCUCACUCCUCACCAUGUUUCUUCUCAACUGGACUUUUUAAAGGCAGUGUCACCUCACUCCAUGCCAGGAUCAAUAUGGAGGCAAGGUUUCUUCUCAACUGGACUUUUUAAAGGCAAUGUCACCUCACUCCAUGCCAGGAGGCAAGUUGACACCCUCUGAAGAUGUCAGUGUGAAGCAAUGCCAAAGGGGAAACAACUCUGCAUUUCUUAAAUCAGCCUCUGGCUUCUUUUUCCUUGUUCUGCAGCUAGAAACCUACGGCUGUAGGCCAAAACAGAUGAUAAAGACUAUAUCAUCCUUAGAAGUGUGUAGCACAUGACCGUUUUGGGGAUGCAGUUCUCUCAUAGGACCUCCUGCCUGUACCAUCAGACCAGCGAGUGAAGACACAGUGGGGGAAAUGUGGUUUGAUUUGACCCAGUGCUCUUUGAGGCAGAGAUCUCCAUUUGCAAAGAAACAUAACAUCAGAAGUUGCCUUAAGGGGCUAACUAGCAAUCUUUUAUGCCUCGUUUUAUCUUAGAUACCCUAAGUGCCCUUAAAAAGCUCUGCUCCAUCUUUGGGUGGAAACCUAAAAAAAAAAAAAACAACAACCACUAUGUGCAGAGUGGGAGUGCUUGUUUGACAGGAGGUGAAAUCCUUUGAGAGCCCUAUCGCCUUCAGUGACGCUGGCAAAAAGCAGACAAAAGUGAUGUCCUGACUGGAACAAAUCUAAACCCCUGAAACAAAAAUGAAUAUUCCCCACUCGAAAAAAAAAAGAUUUUCACAAUGGGCUUCCUUGCACAUCAGGGGGUCUCUCGGUGUUAAUUCCAAUUCAUCUGCAGCCAAUCCCCUAUAAACUGUGAAGUAAGUAGCUAGUGUAGUUGUCUCUCUGUUUACACUUUCAGCCAUCUAAAGCUUAUAUUUCUUCUUCUGGGACUGAGAAAAUUUUGGUGUCCUUAAACCUUUUGAUGAUGUACUCUGUGUCGCCUUAGAAGCCCAUAUGAGGAAGAUGAAAGGGCCUCAUUAGGAUUUCAUUCUUGCUGGAAACUCUCAGGAAUGGUUUGGUUAGGAUGUCCCUUUUAAAAAGCACAAAUCUGAUUCAGGGUUGGAUUUUGAAGCAUGUUGGUCAUCUGGGUAAAUGUGAAUGAUUUACGUAUUCCAGGCACUAGGCAAGUGUACUGCAUCCCAGUCUGUACAUCUGGGGUGGGCCUUGAGAUCAAGUGAACUAUCACGCUCCAGCAUCAUCAACUACCUACGACCCUCAUAGAACUACUCAGGGAUUUGAUUCACGCCAUUGACCGCCAGCUCCACCUCUGUUUUCGAUCAAGGAAGCUCUGAAGCUUCUGAAUCAACAGUGACCCAUAGUUAUAACUUGAACCUUCAUGCCAUCACAAAGGUGGGGCUCCCUCUGAGGCCUACUAGGGCCACAUCUGCUUUCUCUCCACCACCAGCGCUGGGCAUCUCGACCUGAGCUUAUUCAUCCGGUUUCACCAGAGUAUUUCUUGUUACAGAAUAUGAAGUUCUUUUGGCAAAUGUUUACGAAAAGAAGAGAACCAUUUUUAUUAUCUAUCCCUGGUGUGACAAUCUCAGAAGUUUGUAGCAAACCUCCAUCACGAAUAUAUACACCAAAAAUACUUUAUGCGAAUAACUUGAAUUUGCACCAUUGAAUGUUCUGGGUGCUUCUCUUUGUGAAUGUACGAUAGAUGUAUGAUAGGUGUUAUUGCACUACCAAAGGGAGAGUGGUUGACUGACCAAAUGGGUGUGAUAUAAAUACAAUAAAUAAAUAAAUGUAAAUAAAUAAAUAAGAUAA
ensembl:lncRNA